CUGGCUGAGAGUGGGGCAGGGAAGCCUGAGGCCCAGCCUCUGCCAUGACCCUGAGCAGGGCCUACCCCCAGGCGAUUCAUCUCCCCAUCUCUGAGCUGCCAGAUGGAACCCACGUGCAGAGUGGCUGCAACAUGGAGAAUGGGUUGGAGGGACACAAGAGGGGCAGUGGAGAGACCACUUCAGACCUCUCCACUCCUGCCUCCUGGAGACUCAGCGAGCUCGUCCCUCAUUGACUCUACAUCACCCCUCACCCACCGGUCCCAGGUGCACACACGAGACCAGGCCCAGACCAGGGACUUCCUAGGCCACGCCACGCCGCUCCACCAGCUCAGGGAACCCCCUUGGCCGUGCAGACCUGCGCCACAGGGUCGUUUCCUCCCCUCCUUCCCUCGAAAGCGUAUGCAUUUCGUUGCCCCUGGAACUGGGGUCAUUUCAGGACCUCCCAAGGAGGGUCAGGAUGGUGGUAUUGGCCUUAGGGGACGCGGGCUCAGGUUGGCGGUUGAACCGCAUGUUCCUGUUUCAAACAAACCUAAAUGUAGGCCUGGAAGGCUGUGCACUGAAAUCCUAGUAUUAGGUUGGUGCAAAAUUAAUUGCGAUUUUUGCCAUUGUAGGUUGUCUGCAGAGUGAGAUUAUGGCGAAGCAUUUUAUUCUUUUUACAAACCUGCUUUUUCUCAGUUUUCCACAUUGGAUUUGCCAGCUACCUGCCUUUGCAGGACACCUCAGAAGUUACAGACUUGCCUGUGGAAAUGCAGAGAGCACCUGAGGUAUUUCCCGGACUCUCCAGUAGUAGCCUUGAAUGGCUGACCAACCGCAGUCACCUGCCAGAUCUUCUCAGAACCGGCCAGCCCACCAGCGACAGGCCCAUUAAGUGGCCUGGCCCAGCCCAGAUGGAAAACCCCCUCCACGUGACUUUCUAAAGAACAUGCAUGAAGACAAAACACCAGGUGCCUCAGGUGUGACACCCUGAGGACACAUCACCUGUACAGUAUCCUAACCCACCCAAGAUGACACAGUAAGGUAAAACCACAGUAGAGCCCAGGCCUGUUUGACUCUGAAGUCCAGGCUCCUUUCCAACUUAGUGCCCUAAAGGCCUGAUUGGGGUGGGGGUAGGCAGGAAGAUUCAAGCACUGAUUGUUUGUAGCCCAGGCUGGGAGGGCAACAGCUCUAGAAAAAAAGUCACUCACUGCUUUAACCAUCUUCCAGCUAACUGCAGUGAGGUGUACAGGGCCAUGGGGCUCUGGGAUGAACUCUUCCACCUCUACACCUUGUAAACAAGGAUUCCAGACACACCCUCCAAAUGGGAAUGGAGACACACGUUUGGCAGAGUUGGACAGUAACGCUGCUCUCCUAUCAGCCUGGACUUUGAGGGGAGUGGAAAACAUGAGUGUGGAGGUGCAGCAGUCCUGGUAUCCCCUGAAACCAGCCUGUGGGGGGAACAGUCUUCCCAGGGGAGCUGCUCAGGAUCGUCCUGGUCCCAUGCAUCAGGAAGAAAAGGGAACCUGAGAGCAGAGGGAAAAUGCAGAAAGUGGGGCAGGGAGACUGCUCCCUGAAACCCCCAUGGGCUGCUGGUCCAAGCAGAAAGUGUUGUCGGAGGGGGGAGAGGCAGGGUGAAAUGGGACAGGAAACGAGGACUUCCGAUGAGGAGGAGGAGGGGGCAGUGGGCUGCGGGUCUUGGGGACUGAACAGAAUGGGGUUUGCUAGACAGAGCUUUCGUCUACCCACUCCUGAAGUCCUGCUGGACCUCAGCUGGCCCUUGUGAACUGUUGAGGGGGAUAUAAACACAAAGGCCUGCAUUCCUGUGGGUGCACAAUCCUAAGAGACCAUGGACUGCCUGUGUGUGGUGGGAACAGGAAAAGGAGGCUGAGUGUAGCCCUGCUUGGAAUUUAGUGUCCACCACAGAUGUAUCCACUACCCAGGGCCAAAGACUCGGCAGCCUCAGAAGACUCAAUGGAAGCUGAGCACAGGACUAGAAAGGGUCAGGGCCCUCCUCUGUAUGUAGGGGUGGCACAUGGCCACUAGCUGGGUGAUGGGGCACUGAGAAAUUAAAUGUUUGACAUAAAAAUGUAAUCAGGACCCGAGAGGAGGUGGGUGGUGUAAUGAACAGCAUCCUAGAAGUCCGGUACAGAUUUCACGUGUCACCUUCUAGUUCCUUAUCUGAAAUUGAAAGGUGAGGUCAGGUGCAGUGGCUCAGGCCUGUAAUCCCAGCACUUAGGGAGGCUGAGGAGGGCAUAUCAUUGAGGUCAGGUGUUUGAGACCAGCCUGGCCAACAUGGUGAAACCUCUACUAAAAAUACGAAAAUUAGCCGGCUGUGCUGCACACGCCUGUCGUCCCAGCUACUUGGGAGGCUGAGGCAGGAGAAUCCCUUGAACCUGGGAGGCAGAGGCUGCAGUGAGCUGAGAUCACACCACUGCACUCAAGCCUGGGCAUCACAGCGAGACUUCUUAAAAAAAAAAAAAAAAUUUAAAGGUGAGCCAGUUCAGGCUUCUAGAGGCACUGCAGUUACAGACGGUAAACUGCACAAAUCCUGGGUGUGAAGCUGUUUUUUCCUGUGUAACCACCACCCAUUGACAGCAUCCCAGAAAGUUCAAGUGUGUCCCUUCCCAGUUUACAGCCACCCGCCUCCCACCCUCACUUCUAAAUCCACCGAUUAGCAGUGUGUCUUGGAAAUUAAUAUACAAGGAAUCAUAUAGUAUGUGCUCUUUUGUGUUUGGCUUCUUUGCUCAAGAUGUCCGUGAGAUUCAGCCGGGUUGCCUCUCUCUGUAAUAUGUUAAUUUAGGUGUAGUAUCCAUUGUCUGGAAAUACAAUUGUCUAUUCUC
rnacentral:lncRNA from 1 species